CGGGCCUUGCGCAAUGCAAGCUCCCGAACCCGGUCAGGUGAGGAAUCAAGCAGCCGUAAGAGAUGUCUUGUGUGUGCCGCGAGCUU
rnacentral:SRP_RNA from 1 species